rnacentral:rRNA from 1 species
UGGGGAAUAUUGGACAAUGGGCGCAAGCCUGAUCCAGCCAUGCCGCGUGAGUGACGAAGGCCUUAGGGUUGUAAAGCUCUUUUUGGCGGGGAAGAUAAUGACGGUACCCGCAGAAUAAGCUCCGGCUAACUUCGUGCCAGCAGCCGCGGUAAUACGAAGGGAGCUAGCGUUGUUCGGAAUCACUGGGCGUAAAGCGCACGUAGGUGGGCAGUUAAGUCAGGGGUGAAAGCCCGAGGCUCAACCUCGGAAUUGCCUCUGAUACUGGCUGUCUAGAGUUCGAGAGAGGUGAGUGGAAUUCCUAGUGUAGAGGUGAAAUUCGUAGAUAUUAGGAAGAACACCGGUGGCGAAGGCGGCUCACUGGCUCGAUACUGACACUGAGGUGCGAAAGCGUGGGGAGCAAACAGGAUUAGAUACCCGAGUAGUCCCUGAGCGGGCUGGCAAGGCGCAU